rnacentral:rRNA from 1 species
GUAGUCCGCACGGUAAACGAUGGAUGCUCGCUAUUCGUCCUAUUUGGAUGAGUGGCCAAGUGAAAACAUUAAGCAUCCCACCUGGGGAGUACGCCGGCAACGGUGAAACUCAAAGGAAUUGACGGGGGCCCGCACAAGCGGAGGAACAUGUGGUUUAAUUCGAUGAUACGCGAGGAACCUUACCCGGGCUUGAACUGCCAGCGAACGAUACAGAGAUGUUGAGGCCCUUCGGGGCGCUGGUGGAGGUGCUGCAUGGUUGUCGUCAGCUCGUGCCGUGAGGUGUCGGCUUAAGUGCCAUAACGAGCGCAACCCUUUUCUUUAGUUGCCAUCAGGUCAUGCUGGGCACUCUAUGGAUACUGCCACCGUAAGGUGUGAG